rnacentral:tRNA from 1 species
CCUUCGAUAGCUCAGUUGGUAGAGCGGAGGACUGUAGGAGUAAGGUGUAAUCUGGACAUCCUUAGGUCGCUGGUUCGAAUCCGGCUCGAAGGA